rnacentral:rRNA from 1 species
CAGGCCUAAACAUGCAAGUCGAACGCCUGUAGCAAUACAGGAGUGGCGGACGGGUGAGAACGCGUGGGAACCUGCCCUAGAGUGGGGGAUAACCUGGCGAAAGCGAGCUAAUACCGCAUAUGCCCUGAGGGGCAAAGGCUUCGGCCGCUCUUGGAGGGCCCGCGUUGGAUUAGGUAGUUGGUGAGGUAACGGCUCAGCAAGCCGAGAUCCAUAGCUGGUCUGAGAGGAUGAUCAGCCACACUGGGACUGAGACAGGCCCAGACUCCUACGGGAGGCAGCAGUGGGGAAUAUUGGACAAUGGGGAAACCCUGAUCCAGCAAUGCCGCGUGAGUAAAGAAGGCCUUAGGGUUGUAAGCUCUUUAGCCGAUGAAUAUAAUGACUGUAGUCGGAGAAUAAGCCCCGCUAACUUCGUGCCAGCAGCCGCGGUAAU